GACGAACGCUGGCGGCGUGCUUAACACAUGCAAGUCGAACGGAAAGGCCCUGCUUUUGUGGGGUGCUCGAGUGGCGAACGGGUGAGUAACACGUGAGUAACCUGCCCUUGACUUUGGGAUAACUUUAGGAAACUGGGGCUAAUACCGGAUAGGAGCUCCUGCUGCAUGGUGGGGGUUGGAAAGUUUCGGCGGUUGGGGCUGGACUCGCGGCUUAUCAGCUUGUUGGUGGGGUAGUGGCUUACCAAGGUUUUGACGGGUAGCCGGCCUGAGAGGGUGACCGGCCACAUUGGGACUGAGAUACGGCCCAGACUCCUACGGUAGGCAGCAGUGGGGAAUAUUGCACAAUGGGCGGAAGCCUGAUGCAGCAACGCCGCGUGCGGGAUGACGGCCUUCGGGUUGUAAACCGCUUUCGCCUGUGACGAAGCGUGAGUGACGGUAAUGGGUAAAGAAGCACCGGCUAACUACGUG
rnacentral:rRNA from 1 species